GCUCACCUAGGCGACGAUCCCUAGCUGGUCUGAGAGGAUGACCAGCCACACUGGAACUGAGACACGGUCCAGACUCCUACGGGAGGCAGCAGUGGGGAAUAUUGCACAAUGGGCGCAAGCCUGAUGCAGCCAUGCCGCGUGUAUGAAGAAGGCCUU
rnacentral:rRNA from 1 species